UAUGUAGGGUGCGAGCGUUGUCCGGAAUUAUUGGGCGUAAAGAGCUCGUAGGCGGUGUGUCGCGUCGGCCGUGAAAACCUGCAGCUUAACUGUGGGCUUGCGGUCGAUACGGGCAUCACUGGAGUUCGGCAGGGGAGACUGGAAUUCCUGGUGUAGCGGUGAAAUGCGCAGAUAUCAGGAGGAACACCAAUUGCGAAGGCAGCUCGCUGGGACGUUAC
rnacentral:rRNA from 1 species